UAAUCAAUUCAUUCGUAGCAUAUGAGAUGAGUAAACCCAAUAAAGUCUCGGCCACCACACUAACAAUCUUCACCCUUCUUGCUAUAGGGGUGAUGGUAAAAGAAACACACGGAAAAAACUUGUGUCUUGAUGUUAUAAAAGGUAAUAUACAUUGUGUACCACAAGAUUGUGACUUAAGAAAAAAAAAAUGAAAAAAUUGACAAUUGUAGUUGCGAAUCCUCCUCAUCAUGCAUCAUUGAAGGGUGUAAAACUCAAUGUAAGAGGAAACAUUCCAGUGGCGUUGGUACUUGCAAGAAAAUACCGAAUCAUUUAUACAGACGCGAAGAAUGCCACUGCGUUUAUUAUUGUUGAUAAAACCAUAUUAGAUGGAUCGAAUCUUCAUAUUUAUCAGAUCAUCAGAUAACCAAGUUUAAAUUUUUGGUACGGAAGUCAAAGAAAUUUUUUAUUUUCUUUAAUAACAAGUUGUAGACCAUGACAUAGUCAUAAGAGCUUUUAUUUGGGCAUGGUUUGUACUUUUUUGUUAAUUAAACUAGCACAAUGUAGAUUUAAAAUAAAAGUAAAUAAGUUUUUUAUU